AUUGAACGCUGGCGGCAGGCCUAACCCAUGCAAGUCGAGCGGAGCGGCGGACGGGUGAGUACUGCCUAGGAAUCUGCCCGGUAGUGGCGGCACACGUCCGGAAACGGGCGCUACUACCGCAUACUAUCAGAUGAGCCUCGGUCGGAUUAGCUAGUUGGUGGGGUAAAGGCCUACCAAGGUGACGAUCCGUAACUGGUCUGAGAGGAGGAUCAGUCACCCUGGAACUGAGACACGGUCCAGACUCCGACGGGAGGCAGCAGUGGGGAAUAUUGGACAAUGGGCGAAAGCCUGAUCCAGCCAUGCCGCGUGUGUGAAGAAGGUCUUCGGAUUGUAAAGCACUUUAAGUUGGGAGGCGUUACCAACAGAAUAAGCACCGGCUAACUUCGUGCCAGCAGCCGCGGUAAUUC
rnacentral:rRNA from 1 species